UGGGUUCUUGUUGUGACCUGGUACAAGCUCUGUCCAUACGCUUACGACAACAACUGUCGUUGGAGUAACACUUUUCAAGCUGUCAUAAUUACGGAUGGAUUUAACACAUUUUUGAUGUACAACUACCCUUAUGGUGGAAUUGAGUGGGUGAUUCCAGCGGAUCCGGAUGAUUACCGUUACUGGACUGGUUACUACGGUCUUCCUGUCGCUGGCUGGAACGCAGGAAAUGAUGGAAAAGAUUAUCACAACCACGCAGCGUGAGAAGUUAAAUUUACGUUUAUAUUAGUGUGGUGAAGAACAGCAGCGUUAGAGAGAGUUUACACAUAAGGACAAUGCUAUAUUUAUUCUAUCGUUGUGUCGUCUACUACAAUGAAACUCUUAUGCUGUGCUAACUGCAGUCGUCCUACAUUACAAAAAUGAAACUUUUUACACAAG